AAACCCUAGAAAUAAUGGCAGAACAUCAAUUUCAGAUCAUUAUCAAGACCUUUCUUAGUAUAAAUGUUUUUACAAACCUUUCAUCUCCUCUCCCACACCUACUCAUCCCCUACCCCAAACAAAAGAGAGCUGAUUCCCAAAGGAAUUGAUUCCAUCAUGGUGUAAACCAAACGUGGGAUGUUCAGACAGCAAGUACUUCUUCACAUCAUCUGCGGUAAGGUCACCCAUCACCCCAGGCAGGUGGAGUAGCCUUGGAACCCAUCACAGACAGCGAGGUGGGUGUCCCCUUCGCAGAAAGGGCAGAGACUCCAAGUCUUCACCCUACAGGACUUAGCUGAAUAUAUUCGCAAAGAGACUUAGAAACACAUCUUGUUCUUUAUUCAUUUAGAAAGCAUUUCUGACUACAUAAAAAAUAAAAGGAUAUACACAUUAAAACUAACUCCACUGGUGCUGGUGCUGUGGCGUAGCGAGUAAAGCCGCAGCCUGCAGUGCCAGCAUCCCAUAUGGACACCGGUUCGAGUCUCAGCUGCUCCACUUCCCAUCCAGCUCUGUGCUGUGGCCUGGAAAAGCAGUAGCAGAUGGCUCAAGUCCUUGGCCCCUGUACCAGCAUGGGAGACCUGCAAGAAGCUCCUGGCUCCUGGCUUCGGAUUGGCGCAGCUGCAGCCAUUGCGGCCAACUGGGGAGUGAACCAGAGGAUGGAAGACCUCUCUCUCUCUGCCUCUCCUUCUCUGUGUAACUCUGACUUUCAAAUAAAUCUUAAAAAAAAAAAAAAAAAAAAAAAAAAAAAAAAACAAAAAAAAACAAAACCUUAAGAAAAAAACUGACUCAACCAAUUUAGAGGCACAAGAACUGGUAACAGAAUUGUCUACUACUUCCACAUCAGCAACAUGCAUCUCACUGUUCUUGCUUAGACACGAGUGACUACUGGCCAAGUGUGGGAUUCCACGUGUGUCUGAUACUCGUGUCCCUCUGGUUACCACCCACAGCUUCUGAUAAACGUGGAGACACAGAGCCUUCACACUUCUGAACCUUCACGCUGUGCGCUGCCCAGUUUGUCUCCUCCCUGGAAAAAUGCAGGUUAACUCGUCUUGCCACCUCUUCAAGCAGAAAAUCGUGAUGGGUGUACGAGAAAACUUCACAGCUCUUUGUAAAUUUCCCUAUUGGUGACAGCAGUGGAUCUGUUUUACUUCUCCUUAAAUGAAGUUGAAUAAGAAACAUUUUUCUAUGAAAAUGUCAUUUCUUCCAAGUUUCCAAAUAAAUGUUAUUUGUAAGUUUUCAUUAAAUCUGAAAGCUUUAAAAUUAAACACUUAAGGUAUAAACUCUCUUCUAAGUAUCCCUUUAGAGGCAUUCUCUAGUUUUGAUAUGCACCAUAUUUACUAUUGUUUCAUUCUUUCCUUUUAAAUGCUUUCUAACUUUUACUGUGAUUUUUAUUUCACUUGAGAAGCAAAGCCAGAGACAGCACUCCCAUCUGCUGGUUCACUUCCCAGAUGUGCCCGACAGUCUGAUGUGGGCCAGGUAGAGGAUUCAGGAACUCCAUCCAGGUCUCCCAUGUGGGUGACAGAGGCCAAGCACUGUGCCCUCAUCCGCUGCCUCUCAGGGUGUGCUAACAGGAAUCUGGACUGGAGAAGGCAGGACUUGAUCCCAAGCAGCAGUUUAACCCUUGUCCCUAUUGUUUCAGUCUAAUUUUUUCUCAUUUCCAUUAUCUUCUUUUAUCCAUAGGUUAUUUAAAAUAAAGUGUACUUUUAUUUUGCCAAACAUGGAAGUCUUACUAAUUUACUGAUUGCUAGCUCUGAAUUAUAACAAGGGGGUGGGUAUUUGGCCCAUGGUUUAAACACCACUUUGAGAUACCUGCAUUCUCUAAGUGUAGGCCUAAGUUUCAGCUUCCCUUCUGAUUCCAGCUCCCUGCUAGUGCAACCCUGGGAAGCAGCAGGUGAUGGCUGGCACAGUUGGAUCCCUGCCAGACACAUGAGACCCAGCUCCAGGCUUCUGUCUGGUCCAGCCUCAACUGUUGCAGGCAUUUGGGGAGUGGACCAGUGGAUGAGAGAUCUCUCUGCUUUUCAAAUUAAAUAAAAUAUUUUUAAAACCACUGGAGAAAAACAUAUAUGAAAUAUGGUUCUAGUCUUAAAGAGCUUUCUAAGCACAAGAUGAAACCAUGAAAAACAGAUUAAACUUGUCAAAAGUACAUGUAAGUGGUAGAUAUUUAGCACAGCGGUUAAGGUAUCACUGGGGAUACCCACAUCCCAUAUCACGUGCUUGGGUUCAAAUCCUAGCUCCACCUCUGGUUUCAGUUUCCUGCUAAGGCAUACCUAGAUAGAUAAGAGAUGAUGGCUCAAGUACUUGGGUUCCUGCUACCCAUGUGGAAAACCCAAAUUCAGUUCUGGAAUCCCAGCUUUGGCCUGUCCCAACCCUGGCUGUUGUGGGCAUUUGAGGAGUGAGCCAGUGGAUGGAAUAUCUCUAACUCUCCAAGUAAACCCUUCAAAAAUGAUAAUAAUGAAGAAGUGGAGCAGCCAGGAUUCAAGCCCACACAGAUGGGGGAUGCUGGUGUGGCAGGCAGCAGUUUAGCCCACUGUACACAAGCCAGCCCCUAUACAAACUUUCUGAAGGACAUCUUGAUAACAUUUAUCAAAUGCCCAAACUUGCAUCUUAUCUGAACUAGCAUUUCUUCUUUCAGAAAUUUACAGAUAACCAGACCUAUGUACAAGGAUACUCCUAUAGAGUAAUCUGUAAAAAAGCUGGUAAUUUCGUACCUGCCUAAUAGUAGGGGUCAGUUGUCAGUGUUCAUAAAUAUCAAGGUUGGCACGGUGGGGUGAGAUUCCCCUUUAUGAGUGGAUGUGACGUUACCCAAAGCAUAGGGAAUGAAAAACGCUAGAAAACAAGCAUGUGUGAGCCGAACUGCAUGUUCUGUAAAGCUGUGCACACAGAGAUGCACAGAGCAGUGGGACUGGGUCAACUGCGGACCCUCUCCAGACCUGGGUUUCUCCUCUCGGAUCAGGAUAACGUUGUUACAAGGAUGUCAUGUACACUGCGCUGGAAGCCCGCAGUCAGGACCAUAACCAGACAGAAGUGUCACCACAGUGCUACCUGGGGCUCCUUCUCACAAGUGCGCUUUCAGCAGGUGACAGCUACUCCGAUGACGUCAGCGUUGGAGAGACCAUUUGUAAUAGUGAGAGAUCCCCAAACAAAGGACUUGGAUCACAAGACAAGUUCACAAUAUGAUCGCUGCAAAUCAUUCCCUACCAGACAAAAUUUAAAGCAAGUUUCUGGAGCCAGGACAAUGUUCCUGGAGAAAAGGAGUUUAGGAGAAUUAGGUGAGGUCACAGGAAGAAAGGUAGCCAGUAAGUGCCAGCGCCACAGCAGUGUGCCACCAGAUGACCACGGGCGAGUCCAAACAUUCAGUUUGCAGAACCAGACAUCACUUCUGUGUCACAUUUCAAGUACACAGAAGAGAAACUCGCCUGAGAGGUCAUCUGACCUGGCAAAGCACGAACCUGAGCUCAACCCCAAAGGACAAAACCGACUCCACAUCUUCCUUCUGACAUCUGGAGUCCGACCGGCAAGAAGUUGACCUCCUCACCCAAAAUGAAAACCAAGGCUUGAUCUGUUCCCGUGCCCUCUGAAAAAAAUGCCGUCCUCGGCAGGAUGGCCACACGGGAGUGGCCAGUGUUCCCUGGGUCUCCACCACACAAGUUCUCCCACCCUGCCAGGAACCACUCAUCGAGUGUUUUUCUUUCCCUCCAAUCUUCUCAUUCUUUUCCACACGGUAAAGCUCAGAGAUGAGCUGAUAAGGAUGAUCGUUUGCAGGGCCUCCUCCUAGACCCCUGUGCUGGGCCAGCUUUUUGUCCCCAAGUUCUCUAACCCCUGGGAGACACUGCUAUCUCACGCCUGUCUUUGCAGCCCUACAAAAUGGCUCCCUUUGUGCCACUUGGCCAGGACCCCAAGGCUGGCCGGCCAGGACUGCAGGUUGGAUCAGUUUAGAACAGACGCCCAGACAAAGUGGACUCUACCCUUCCUCUGAGCCGCGAGGGUCAUCCCAGGAACGCCCGUAACACCUGGAACAACAGUGUGCCAUAGCCGAGACAAUGUGGACACCUCCACACGACCCAGACCCUGGCACCAAGUUAAGCAAGGGCUUGGCAAACGGCCCCAGACCCGACACCGUGCCCAGUGUCCCCCCUGCAAGACGCAGUGGCUGAGUGGCAAGAAGGGGCCCUCUUCCCAGGUGGAGAGAACCGGAGGAGACAAUGGACGUGUCGGGCCCCGCCCAGGAGCGGGAAGCCUCCUCCCGCGGGGGAGCCGGGGCCAGGGAUGAACGCAUUUGGCAAACGUCAAAGCGACAAGUGAAAAGGAUGGGGUGCCGAGACCGAGGGCGGAAGGUCUGGAGGCAGAGAGCCCACUGGGGCUGGCCCGCUCCCCCUCCCGCCCGGGGGUGGGCGCAGGGAGGGGAAGAGAGGGGUCUUUUCUUUGUUAGGAGAGGGGCGGCACUUCAGAGGGGACUGACGGCUGCGUCCAGAGCGGGAGUAAAGGGUUGCGGAACCCGGCCCCGCCCGAGCACCAGUGCACCUGCCAGGCGGCCCGACCGGGGACCCAGGAGCGGGGCGCGGCGAGGGUCGAAGCCCGCAGGACCCGACCGAUACGAUCGCGGGAUCGAAGCCCCGCGCCCCGCGCCGGAGCGAGAAGCACAUGCCGGCCAGAGGCAGGAGCGCGUGGUCCGGGGGAGGGACAAUGGGGCCCCAGCCCGGCGCCCGGGGAGCCGGGACCACCACCCAGGCGCCGGACCGGCCGGCUGCAGAGCGGGGGACCACGACCCUCCCCGCUCUGCCCCGUUAACGAGACCCGUUAACGCGUGCUGCGAGGGGCGGCGGGCCCCGGCCUCCCCGGCCCCACGCUCCGUGGGAAGAAUGAAUGGAGAUCCACGGGCAUCUGGGCGGGGCCGGCUCGCCGAGAGGCACAAAGGCGGCGCCCGCGGCCGAACCCCGCUGCCCGCCCGGGCGAGCGCGGCGCCCCGAGCACG